UUUUUUUUUUCAUAAAACCAAAGUGGCAUAACUUGGACUUUUGAAAAGUGAGGGAUCCCUGUAACACAUAAAUCCUACUUGAGUGUACCACAAAACAGCCCCCUAGCCAGCUGUUACGUUUCAGGUAGUACCACUCAGAAGAUUUCUUGAAUCUCAGAUAGUUGUUAACAAAACAAUAUGCUGAUCAGUUCCAAAAAAAUAAAUCAGAGGCAAUCAGUUUUGGCAGCUGCUUGGCUCGUGAAAGGUGACACCCAAUUAGAGAAUAUGAUCCACCCCAAACAGUGUGUGCUUCCAACAGCCCACGGUAUUUACAGCCGCAGUCAUGGGUCUGACAGCUGUGGAUCCCGCCUGGAGUCACAAACUCCUCCAGAAGCCAUAAUAAUAACCUUUUACUCCUAUGCAAUGCUGCCUUUCAUCUGAGUUCUCACAACGACUCAGUGAGAUAGGGAUGGAAAGUAUUCCCAUCCCCCUCUGAAGCCCAGACAAGAGAGCAUCAGAGAGGAAAGGGUACCUUGGUGUAACGUGAUGGUAAAGCUAGCGUGGAGCAACAGGGCCACAAGGAAGACUUAGCCUGUGACACAUUCACAGCAACAACUCCUUUGCUAUUGUGUGACCUCCUCACCCACAUCUUUGCCCCUGGGUCUACAGGGGGUAAUCACCAAAUACAUAGCCAGUUUAUUAAUAACUUGUACAUGUGACAUGGUCAUUGAUUAGAAUUUUAGCACAAUUUCGGCAAGGGAAUUAUUCUUAAUACCUCAUCAAAAUUAUUUCUACAAAAUGUAACCUCAGUCUCCUUUGUCCCAUUCUCAUGUCUUUAAUAUCCUUUAGAAGAAGGGCAAGUCCUGAUUUUCAAAGGAAUAAGAUGGUCUCUAUCAACCCCUUGGGCAGAUUGUUAAUAGGAAGAAUGUGAACUCAAAGAUGGGGAGCAUGUUCAUUCCCUGGGAACAACUUAGACUCACUAAGAACAAGACAUGAGGUAGGCUUGUUGGUGGGAUGACCACAAGAAAGACUCAAAGGGAUGCAGUAGAUAUAGUGCUUAUUAAUUUUAACAAUGUCUUUGAUGGAAUUUCCUAUUUUGUGAACAAAUUACAGAGAUGUGGACCUCAUGAUAUACCAUUUGGUGGAUUUGUAACUGGUUGAAUAAAUUCGGAGAUGAUAAGUAAUGUGUGAUAAGAUCCUACAGUAUACUCUGAAUGAUAUAAUGAAGAAUUUUGACUUCUGUCUUAUCUAGUCCAAAACUUUUAUCAAGUAUUAUUAAUUUUUUGGCCUCUAGAGCCCAUCGAUCAAUCUACAUGGCUUAAGGUUGAGAGGAGAAGCUGAGGAGGGGCAUCAGAAACUUCAAGCCAAAAGCAGUCUGGAGCGAGAGAUGCAUCAGUUCAAAUCUGACAAGGGGUGCCUGGGUGGCUCAGUUGGUUCAACUUCUGACUCUUGAUUUCAGUUCAGGUCAUGAUCUUAGGGCUGUGAAGUCCAAUGCACAUCAGGCGUGGAUCCUGCUUACGAUUCUCUCUCUGCCUCUCCUCUCUCCUCCUCCCCCAGCUUUUGCAUGGACACAGCCAGCUCUCUCUCUCAAAAACAAAACUGCACAAGAUAGUAUUUCAAUGGAUAUUUUUUAAACAUUGGGGUUCUAUUAAAAGACUCAAGUGCACAAGUAGAGUAUGAGGAGACAUACCUUGGAACAACUCAUAACAAGAAGACCACAGGUGUGAGAGUACAUGUAGUCUCAGAUUCACACAGUAGUAGGGGGGCUCUGGCCAAGGAAGCUGCUAGGAAUAUAGAGUGCAGUGUUUCAGUGGGAACUGGUUCCUGUUUUCUUCUCCCCAUGAUCCUGAAGAUCUGUGCUUAAGAUGGUCACUAACCAAUUGGAAAAGGGUCACCGGUGGGUGAAGAACAAGGAAAAGAUGCUGGACACCAUGUUAAUUAAAUCGCAAAC
rnacentral:lncRNA from 1 species